rnacentral:misc_RNA from 1 species
UGCCUGUUCGAGCGUCAUUAUGACCACUCAAGCCUGGCUUGGUGUUGGGCCCGCGGAACCGCGACCCCUAAAAUCAGUGGCGGCGCGUUCGGCUCUAAGCGUAGUAAUACUUCUCGCUAUAGAGCCCGAGCGUAUGCUUGCCAGCAACCCCCAAUCUCACGGUUGACCUCGGAUCAGGUAGGGAUACCCGCUGAACUUAA